GGCAGCCGCGGUAAUUCCAGCUCCAAUAGCGUAUAUUAAAGUUGUUGCAGUUAAAAAGCUCGUAGUUGAAUUUCGGGGUUAGUAGGUUGGUCAUGCCUCUGGUAUGUACUGGUCUCACUGAUUCCUCCUUCCUGAUGAACCUUAAUGCCAUUAAUUUGGUGUUUUGGGGAAUUUGGACUGUUACUUUGAAAAAUUAGAGUGUUUAAAGCAAGCUAACGCUUGAAUACAUUAGCAUGGAAUAAUGAAAUAGGACGUUCGAUCCUAUUUUGUUGGUUUCUAGGAUUGACGUAAUGAUUAAUAGGGAUAGUUGGGGGCAUUAGUAUUCAAUUGUCAGAGGUGAAAUUCUUGGAUUUAUUGAAGACUAACUACUGCGAAAGCAUUUGCCAAGGAUGUUUUCAUUAAUCAAGAACGAAAGUUAGGGGAUCGAAGACGAUCAGAUACCGUCGUAGUCUUAACCAUAAACUAUGCCGACUAGGGAUCGGAUGAUGUUAAUUUUUUAAUGACUCAUUCGGCGCCUUAC
rnacentral:misc_RNA from 1 species